rnacentral:rRNA from 1 species
AUGUAAAUUUUUGUAUGAAGUUUUGUUUAUUUUAAUAAUUAAUAAUUAAAAAAUAAUCUCAGUAAUUAAUUUUAUAUAUCAAGGAAACUUGGAGUUAGUAAUUUCAUUUAGUAUUGGUUAAAUUUGUGCCAGCAUCCGCGGUUAUACAAAUAAUACAAGUAAAAUUUAUUCGAUGAAAGUUUAAUAAAAAAUAAAUAUAAAUUUAUAAGGUGAAAUUUUAAAUUUAUAAAAUUUUUAUAUCAUGAAUUUAUAAUCUUAUAAAUUUUUUUUAAAAACUAGGAUUAGAUACCCUAUUAUUAUAAAUUUAAAUUUAAACAUCAAAGUAGUAUUAGUUAUGUUCUUGAAACUUAAAAAAUUUGGCGGUAUUUUAGUCUAUUCAGAGGAACCUGUUCUAUAAUUGAUAAUCCACGAUGUACCUUACUUAAAUUUGUUUUCAGUUUAUAUACCGUCGUUAUCAGAAUAUUUUAUUAGAAUAAUAAUUUUCAAUAAUUUUUAUUAGAAUGUAUAUCAGAUCAAGGUGUAGCUUAUAUUUAAGGAGAGAUGGGUUACAAUAAAUUUAUUUAAAUGAAUUUAAAUUUGAAAUAUUUAAUGAAAAUGGAUUUGAUAGUAAAAUUUUAAAGAAUAAAAGUUUGAUUUUAGCUCUAAAAUAUGUACACAUCGCCCGUCACUCUUAUUUUUAAAAUAAGAUAAGUCGUAACAUAGUAGAUGUA